GAGUUUGAUCUUGGCUCAGGAUGAACGCUGGCGGCGUGCCUAAUACAUGCAAGUCGAGCGAACUGAUUAGAAGCUUGCUUCUAUGACGUUAGCGGCGGACGGGUGAGUAACACGUGGGCAACCUGCCUGUAAGUCUGGGAUAACUUCGGGAAACCGAAGCUAAUACCGGAUAGGAUCUUCUCCUUCAUGGGAGAUGAUUGAAAGAUGGCUUCGGCUAUCACUUACAGAUGGGCCCGCGGUGCAUUAGCUAGUUGGUGAGGUAACGGCUCACCAAGGCAACGAUGCAUAGCCGACCUGAGAGGGUGAUCGGCCACACUGGGACUGAGACACGGCCCAGACUCCUACGGGAGGCAGCAGUAGGGAAUCUUCCGCAAUGGACGAAAGUCUGACGGAGCAACGCCGCGUGAGUGAUGAAGGCUUUCGGGUCGUAAAACUCUGUUGUUAGGGAAGAACAAGUACAAGAGUAACUGCUUGUACCUUGACGGUACCUAACCAGAAAGCCACGGCUAAC
rnacentral:rRNA from 1 species